rnacentral:rRNA from 1 species
CAAUAGCGUAUAUUAAAGUUGUUGCAGUUAAAAAGCUCGUAGUUGGAUUUCUGGUGGGAGCGAUCGGUCUGGCGCUUAGCGCGAGUACUUGCAUCGUCUCCGGCCAUCCUUGGGGAGAGUCUGUCUGGCAUUAAGUUGUCGGGCAGAGGAUCCUCCUCGUUUACUGUGAAAAAAUUAGAGUGUUCAAAGCAGGCUUAUGCCGUUGAAUAUAUUAGCAUGGAAUAAUAAGAUAGGACUUUGGUACUAUUUUGUUGGUUUGCGCACCAAAGUAAUGAUUAAUAGGGACAGUUGGGGGUAUUCGUAUUCCGUUGUCAGAGGUGAAAUUCUUGGAUUUACGGAAGACGAACUACUGCGAAAGCAUUUACCAAGGAUGUUUUCAUUAA